rnacentral:rRNA from 1 species
GGCGCUUGAGAGAACUCGGGUGAAGGAACUAGGCAAAAUGGUGCCGUAACUUCGGGAGAAGGCACGCUGACACGUAGGUGAAGUGGUUUACCCAUGGAGCUGAAGUCAGUCGAAGAUACCAGCUGGCUGCAACUGUUUAUUAAAAACACAGCACUGUGCAAACACGAAAGUGGACGUAUACGGUGUGACGCCUGCCCGGUGCCGGAAGGUUAAUUGAUGGGGUCAGCGCAAGCGAAGCUCCUGAUCGAAGCCCCGGUAAACGGCGGCCGUAACUAUAACGGUCCUAAGGUAGCGAAAUUCCUUGUCGGGUAAGUUCCGACCUGCACGAAUGGCGUAAUGAUGGCCAGGCUGUCUCCACCCGGGACUCAGUGAAAUUGAACUCGCUGUGAAGAUGCAGUGUACCCGCGGCAAGACGGAAAGACCCCGUGAACCUUUACUAUAGCUUGACACUGAACACUGGUCCUUGAUGUGCAGGAUAGGUGGGAGGCUUUGAAGUGUGGACGCCAGUCUGCAUGGAGCCAUCCUUGAAAUACCACCCUUUAAUGGCUGGUGUUCUAACGUGGGCCCGUGAACCGGGUUGCGGACAGUGUCUGGUGGGUAGUUUGACUGGGGCGGUCUCCUCCUAAAGAGUAACGGAGGAGCACGAAGGUUGGCUAAUCCUGGUCGGACAUCAGGAGGUUAGUGCAAUGGCAUAAGCCAGCUUGACUGCGAGCGUGACGGCGCGAGCAGGUGCGAAAGCAGGUCAUAGUGAUCCGGUGGUUCUGAAUGGAAGGGCCAUCGCUCAACGGAUAAAAGGUACUCCGGGGAUAACAGGCUGAUACCGCCCAAGAGUUCAUAUCGACGGCGGUGUUUGGCACCUCGAUGUCGGCUCAUCACAUCCUGGGGCUGAAGUAGGUCCCAAGGGUAUGGCUGUUCGCCAUUUAAAGUGGUACGCGAGCUGGGUUUAGAACGUCGUGAGACAGUUCGGUCCCUAUCUGCCGUGGGCGCUGGAAGAUUGAGGGGGGCUGCUCCUAGUACGAGAGGACCGGAGUGGACGCAUCACUGGUGUUCGGGUUGUCAUGCCAAUGGCACUGCCCGGUAGCUACAUGCGGAAGAGAUAAGUGCUGAAAGCAUCUAAGCACGAAACUUGCCCCGAGAUGAAUCUUCCCUGAGCCUUUAAGGCUCCUGAAGGAACGUUGAAGACGACGACGUUGAUAGGCCGGGUGUGUAAGCGCAGCGAUGCGUUGAGCUAACCGGUACUAAUGAACCGUGAGGCUUAACCUUACA